rnacentral:rRNA from 1 species
AUUCCUGUACUACCGAUAACCGUUUGAGAGAAGGGAUGACACAGUAGGAUAAGCUAAGCACACUGUUGGUUAUGUGUGCCCAAGCAUUGAGGCAGUCAAAGCAGGCAAAUCCGCUUUGAUAAUGCUGGGAUGUGAUGGGGAGCGAAAUUUAGUAGCGAAGUAGCUGAUUUCACACUGUCAAGAAAAGUCUCUAUCGAGGUUA